GUCUAUAGUCUUGCCACCCUAAACACACCUAAUCUCGUCUGAUCUUGGAAGCUAAGCAGGGUUGGGCCUGGUUAGUACUUGGAUGGAAAGACCAGGUGUUGUAGGCU
rnacentral:rRNA from 1 species